rnacentral:SRP_RNA from 1 species
UGUCAGGUCUUGCGCAAUAAAAACUCAUGAAUCUCGUCAGGUUCGGAAGAAAGCAGCGAUAAGUGAUAAUUUUUAUGUGCCGCAAGGUCACCUGAUACUG